UACAGAGGGGGCAAGCGUUGUUCGGAAUUACUGGGCGUAAAGGGCGCGUAGGCGGCCUGUUAAGUCGAACGUGAAAUCCCUGGGCUCAACCCAGGAACUGCGUCCGAUACUGGCAGGCUUGAAUUCGGGAGAGGGAUGCGGAAUUCCAGGUGUAGCGGUGAAAUGCGUAGAGAUGCGGAGGAACACCGAUGGCGAAGGCAGCCCCCUGGGCUAACACUGACGCUCAGGCACGAAAGCGUGGGGAGCAACGA
rnacentral:rRNA from 1 species